AAUGAACGCUGGCGGCAUGCCUAACACAUGCAAGUCGAACGAAGGCUUCGGCCUUAGUGGCGCACGGGUGCGUAACGCGUGGGAAUCUGCCCUCAGGUUCGGAAUAACAGCGAGAAAUUGCUGCUAAUACCGGAUGAUAUCGCGAGAUCAAAGAUUUAUCGCCUGAGGAUGAGCCAGCGUAGGAUUUGCUAGUUGGUGUGGUAAAGGCGCACCAAGGCGACGAUCCUUAGCUGGUCUGAGAGGAUGAUCAGCCACACUGGGACUGAGACACGGCCCAGACUCCUGCGGGAGGCAGCAGUGGGGAAUAUUGGACAAUGGGCGAAAGCCUGAUCCAGCAAUGCCGCGUGAGUGAUGAAGGCCUUAGGGUUGUAAAGCUCUUUUACCCGGGAUGAUAAUGACAGUACCGGGAGAAUAAGCUCCGGCUAACUCCGUGCCAGCCGCCGCGGUAA
rnacentral:rRNA from 1 species